UAUUGGAUCCUCUGGAGCUAGAGAGUUCUAGGUGAUUGUGAGCCACCCAAUGUGGGAGCCGGAAUGGAACUCAAGUCUCCUGAGAGAGCAGUACUUGCUGUACACCACUGAGCUACCUCUCUAGCCCCAAACUCUAUAGUUCGUUAAAGAAAGCAUCUGUCAGCGCCUGCUUUACCUCAUAAAAAAAGUUCUGUGGCAAGAUAUGGCCAGUGUCAAAAAGGCAGUGGCUGUGGGCUGAGCUGGUAGAGCGUUUGCUUAAUAUGACCUCAGGGUUCCAUCGCCAGCACCACACAAGCCAAAGGCGGUGGCCCCAUCUCAGCCUAGCACUUGGGAGACGGAGGCAGGAGAAUCCAGGAGGUCAAAGUCGUCUCAGUCCUAUCCGAGGGGAAGCAGGCAUCAUGAGCACUGAGACAGGAAGAGAAGGAAGCAAGAGGGGGCCUCAGAUACAAAGACUCAGGAAACAGGGCGUCUACAGGUGCUCCAAGUUGUGUGCAUUAAAAUAGCAUACCACACACCCUGUACACACUGGCUUGAUUGAAUUAUUUGAAAUCCAGAAAUCUCUCCUAGAGAUGACCAUUGGCAGAUGUGCAUUUUAAAAGAGCCGUCUCUAGGCGGGGCCGUGGCCCUGCGUUCACUGCCCAGGCAGCCAUGGGUUUCCUGGUUACCUCCUUG